AGAGUUUGAUCCUGGCUCAGGAUGGACGCUGGCGGCGUGCCUAAUACAUGCAAGUCGAGCGAACAGACGAGGAGCUUGCUCCUCUGACGUUAGCGGCGGACGGGUGAGUAACACGUGGGUAACCUACCUAUAAGACUGGGAUAACUUCGGGAAACCGGAGCUAAUACCGGAUAAUAUAUUGAACCGCAUGGUUCAAUAGUGAAAGACGGUUUUGCUGUCACUUAUAGAUGGAUCCGCGCCGCAUUAGCUAGUUGGUAAGGUAACGGCUUACCAAGGCAACGAUGCGUAGCCGACCUGAGAGGGUGAUCGGCCACACUGGAACUGAGACACGGUCCAGACUCCUACGGGAGGCAGCAGUAGGGAAUCUUCCGCAAUGGGCGAAAGCCUGACGGAGCAACGCCGCGUGAGUGAUGAAGGUCUUCGGAUCGUAAAACUCUGUUAUUAGGGAAGAACAAAUGUGUAAGUAACUAUGCACGUCUUGACGGUACCUAAUCAGAAAGCCACGGCUAACUACGUGCCAGCAGCCGCGGUAAUACGUAGGUGGCAAGCGUUAUCCGGAAUUAUUGGGCGUAAAGCGCGCGUAGGCGGUUUUUUAAGUCUGAUGUGAAAGCCCACGGCUCAACCGUGGAGGGUCAUUGGAAACUGGAAAACUUGAGUGCAGAAGAGGAAAGUGGAAUUCCAUGUGUAGCGGUGAAAUGCGCAGAGAUAUGGAGGAACACCAGUGGCGAAGGCGACUUUCUGGUCUGUAACUGACGCUGAUGUGCGAAAGCGUGGGGAUCAAACAGGAUUAGAUACCCUGGUAGUCCACGCCGUAAACGAU
rnacentral:rRNA from 1 species